ACCUCAGUUUAAAUUCAGCACGGAAUGAAGUGGGGUGGGUGACGAGAAAUUACUUAAUGGGUACGAUGAACAUUAUUUCAGUCAUGGAUACACUAAAGUCAGGACUUCGUCACUUCCAUCACACAAUAUAUCCAUGUAACAAAUUUACUUGUACCGCUUAAAUUUAUGCAAAUAUAGAAAAAGCAAAUGCAAGCAUGCUUAAAAAAACAAAAGCAGUUGAUGAGGCAGAUGAUGAGGGAGCUGGUGGCAAAAAAAGAGCUCAGUCCCUGUAGGAACCUGGUUUGGCUCAGCCAGUCUUGGCCUCUGGUUCAUCAUUUUCAUGAUCAUGUUUGUGGCUGGGUCUGGAGUUCAGGGGAGCAGACUGCUCAGGUGGCUGGGACCAGGUCUCCGGCUUCUCCUAGUUUUCUCCCUACUCCUGGGCAUUGAUUGGGACUUAUUAGAACCUCCACUGGAGGAAAAGGAAGCAAACAGAAGGAAGUUGAACCUCAGAUGAGUCAGAGAUUUAACAGUGCCAUGGGGUCCCGAUUGCACUCACCAUCCACACCAUCAUGUAGGAGAAGGCUGCGAUCCACAGCGUGGAGGAAGCAAACGUCACCAUGAACCAUUUCUCCCAGCGCGGCUUGUUGCAGUUGGGUACAGUGAAGUAUAAGACGAAACUCAGCGGCCAGG
rnacentral:lncRNA from 10 species